GCGCGGCGCUCGGGGUUCCCGGGGGCGGGGGCCCGGGGCGCGCGCGCUGGCCGCUCGCCGACCGGGCCCCGAGUCGCCGAUUCCUGCCGAGUGUAGAGAGGAGAGAGUGAACAGGGAACGGGGCUUUUGUCUGUUGGUUGGUCUCCUUCGACCGAAGAGAGGGAGGGUGCAAGGCCAAGACUAUUAAGGAUUCUCAAAAUGGACAGACUCAGAAGGCAUCAGCUGCAAGAUUUUCAAUAUGAAUGAUUUUACCGGUUCUUCUGGACCCUUCAGGUGCGGUUGGACUCAUCCC